GAUGAACGCUGGCGGCGUGCCUAAUACAUGCAAGUCGAGCGAACGGACGAGAAGCUUGCUUCUCUGAUGUUAGCGGCGGACGGGUGAGUAACACGUGGAUAACCUACCUAUAAGACUGGGAUAACUUCGGGAAACCGGAGCUAAUACCGGAUAAUAUUUUGAACCGCAUGGUUCAAAAGUAAAAGACGGUCUUGCUGUCACUUAUAGAUGGAUCCGCGCUGCAUUAGCUAGUUGGUAAGGUAACGGCUUACCAAGGCAACGGUGCAUAGCCGACCUGAGAGGGUGAUCGGCCACACUGGAACUGAGACACGGUCCAGACUCCUACGGGAGGCAGCAGUAGGGAAUCUUCCGCAAUGGGCGAAAGCCUGACGGAGCAACGCCGCGUGAGUGAUGAAGGUCUUCGGAUCGUAAAACUCUGUUAUUAGGGAAGAACAUAUGUGUAAGUAACUGUGCACAUCUUGACGGUACCUAAUCAGAAAGCCACGGCUAACUACGUG
rnacentral:rRNA from 1 species